AUUGAACGCUGGCGGCAGGCCUAACACAUGCAAGUCGAGCGAGUGGCGGACGGGUGAGUAAUGUCUGGGGAACUGCCCGAUGGAGGGGGAUAACUACUGGAAACGGUGGCUAAUACCGCAUACUAUCGGAUGUACCCAUAUGGGAUUAGCUCGGUGGUGGGGUAACGGCUCACCAAGGCGACGAUCCCUAGCUGGUCUGAGCGGAUGAUCAGCCACACUGGGACUGAGACACGGCCCAGACUCCUACGGGAGGCAGCAGUGGGGAAUAUUGCACAAUGGGCGCAAGCCUGAUGCAGCCAUGCCGCGUGUAUGAAGAAGGCCUUAGGGUUGUAAAGUACUUUCAGCGGGGAGGCGUUACCCGCAGAAGAAGCACCGGCUAACUCCGUGCCAGCAGCCGCGGUAAUUC
rnacentral:rRNA from 1 species